rnacentral:rRNA from 1 species
UGAACCGUUAUAACCGGCGAUACCCGAAUGGGGAAACCCAGUGUGACUCGUCACACUAUCAUUAACUGAAUCCAUAGGUUAAUGAGGCGAACCGGGGGAACUGAAACAUCUAAGUACCCCGAGGAAAAGAAAUCAACCGAGAUUCCCCCAGUAGCGGCGAGCGAACGGGGAGGAGCCCAGAGCCUGAAUCAGCAUGUGUGUUAGUGGAAGCGUCUGGAAAGGCGCGCGAUACAGGGUGACAGCCCCGUACACAAAAGCGCAUGUGCUGUGAGCUCGAUGAGUAGGGCGGGACACGUGGUAUCCUGUCUGAAUAUGGGGGGACCAUCCUCCAAGGCUAAAUACUCCUGACUGACCGAUAGUGAACCAGUACCGUGAGGGAAAGGCGAAAAGAACCCCGGCGAGGGGAGUGAAAAAGAACCUGAAACCGU